UCCGGCUUGUCACCGGCAGUCUCCUUAGAGUUCCCAGCAUCACCUGUUGGCAACUAAGAAUAGGGGUUGCGCUCGUUACGGGACUUAACCCAACAUCUCACGGCACGAGCUGACGACAGCCAUGCAGCACCUGUGUACGCUCCCUCGCGGGUCCCUUCCCUUUCGAGUCGGUACCACGUGCAUGUCAAGCCGAGGUAAGGUUCUGCGCGUUGCUUCGAAUUAAACCACAUGCUCCACCGCUUGUGCGGGCCCCCGUCAAUUUCUUUGAGUUUUAACCUUGCGGCCGUACUCCCCAGGCGGAGAGCUUAAUGCGUUAGCUGCGUCACCAAUAAGCAUGCUUACUGACAACUAGCUCUCAUCGUUUAAGGCGUGGACUAC
rnacentral:misc_RNA from 1 species